CUCCCCCAGCCUGCACGCAUCGGCACGGCAUCUCCUCGCUCUGCCGCGCCGCCGCCGCCGCCAUGAAGCGCUCCUUCGACGCCAUGGAGGCGAAGCCGGUGUUCCUCUCCAAGGAGGAGCGCCAGCGCCUCGCGCUCGAGCGCCGCCAGGCGGCCGUCGCCGACCAGCGCCGCUCCGCGCUCGACAUCCUCCAGUCGCUCCCGCGGCCCCCUCCGCCGCCUCCCCCGUCCGGCGCCCCCCGAGACUCCUCCUCGUCCCACCGCGACCCCUCCGACCGGGACAGGGGCGACAGGGGGGACAGGGACAGGGACCGGGACCGGGACCGCCGCCGCGACGACGACUCCCGCCGGGACCGAGAUCGGGAUCGCGACCGCGACCGCGACGAGCCUUCCCGCCGGGACCGGGACCGUGACCGCGACCGGGACAGGGAGCACCGGGACAGGGAGCGCGGGGAGCGGGACAAGGACCGGGAGAAGGACCGGCUGGAGAAGAUGGCGGAGAGGGAGCGGGAGAAGGAGCUGGAGGCCAUCAAGGAGCAGUACCUGGGGUCCAAGAAGCCCAAGAAGCGGGUCAUCAAGCCCUCGGAGAAGUUCCGCUUCUCCUUCGACUGGGAGAACACCGAGGACACCAGCCGCGACAUGAACAUGCUCUACCAGGCGCCGCACGAGGCCCGCCUGCUCUACGGCCGCGGCUUCCUCGCCGGCAUUGACCGGCGCGAGCAGAAGAAGGCGGCCGCCGUGUUUGAGAAGGAGACCCGUGCCGAGCAGCGCCGCAAGUUCGGCGUGGAGGACCGGCCUGAGGAUGAUGUGGCUGAUAAGAAGAAGGCUGCCGCCGCGGAGAUGUAUGAUGCCUUCGACAUGCGGGUGGACAGGCACUGGUCUGAGAAGGGCAUCGAGGAGAUGACGGAGCGGGAUUGGCGUAUUUUCCGGGAGGACUUCAAUAUCUCCUACAAGGGGUCUCGCAUACCCCGGCCGAUGCGCAACUGGCCUGAGAGCAAGCUUGGGACUGAGCUGCUUCGUGCUAUUGAGAAGGUUGGGUACAAGAAACCGUCACCGAUCCAGAUGGCUGCCAUUCCACUUGGUCUCCAGCAGCGUGAUGUCAUUGGUAUUGCAGAGACAGGUUCGGGCAAGACUGCCGCUUUUGUGCUUCCUAUGCUGUCAUACAUUACUCGCCUGCCGCCUAUAAGCGAGGACAAUGAGGCCGAGGGUCCUUAUGCUGUUGUCAUGGCACCUACUCGUGAGCUUGCUCAACAGAUUGAGGAAGAGACGGUGAAGUUUGCAACCUAUCUAGGCAUUAAAGUCGUUUCCAUUGUUGGUGGUCAGUCGAUUGAGGAGCAAGGUUUCAAGAUCAGACAGGGCUGUGAAGUUGUGAUUGCAACGCCUGGUCGGCUUCUUGAUUGUCUGGAGAGAAGGUAUGCUGUGCUCAACCAGUGCAACUAUGUUGUACUUGACGAGGCUGAUAGGAUGAUUGAUAUGGGAUUUGAGCCACAGGUUGUUGGUGUCCUUGAUGCCAUGCCGUCAAGUAACCUGAAACCUGAGAAUGAGGAAGAGGAACUGGAUGAGAAGAGGAUUUACAGGACAACUUAUAUGUUCAGUGCCACCAUGCCACCUGCUGUUGAGCGCCUUGCUAGGAAGUACCUCCGGAACCCAGUUGUCGUCACAAUUGGUACAGCUGGCAAGGCCACAGAUCUGAUAACUCAAAAUGUGAUCAUGGUGAAGGAGUCAGAGAAGAUGUCACGACUCCAGAAGAUACUCACAGAUCUUGGGGACAAGACGGCCAUUGUGUUCUGCAACACAAAGAAGUCAGCAGACAACCGUGCUAAGGAUCUGGACAAGGCAGGUUUCCGCGUCACAGCACUGCAUGGAGGGAAGUCACAAGAUCAGAGGGAGAUCAGCCUUGAUGGAUUUAGGAACCGCAGGUUCAAUGUUCUUGUAGCGACUGAUGUUGCAGGGCGUGGUAUUGAUAUUCCUGAUGUCGCUCAUGUUAUUAACUAUGAGAUGCCUAGUUCAGUUGAUACAUACACACAUCGCAUCGGAAGAACAGGGCGUGCAGGAAAGAAGGGACUUGCAACUUCAUUCUUGACUCUGGAUAACACUGAUAUUUUCUUCGAUCUGAAACAGAUGCUUACUCAGAGCAAUAGUCCCGUCCCUCCAGAACUUGCUAGGCAUGAGGCGUCGAAGUUUAAGCCAGGAUCGGUUCCUGAUAGACCUCCAAGAAGAAAUGACACCGUCUAUGCAUCUCACUGAAGCAAUCUGCUGCAGAAGAGGCGGAGAUCCUUCUUGGGUACAAUUCAGGGCCACCUUCUACUGUGUCGAGAUUUAGUACUUAUGAGGUACAAACAUGAUAACAAUUGAACCAUUAUCCUUUCCUGUUUGCAAACCAGCCUUUCUAUUUUCUGUAACCUAAGUAUAUUCGGAUAUUUCUGUGAUGAUUCAGAACUGGACCUAUGUAUCUUAUUGUACUGUGGGUGCCAUAAUGCAACUGUCAUGCCCAAACAUCGACUGCUUUUGAAGUGUUUUUUGCAGGUUAAACAAACUGAGUUUAUUUUUUGUACAGCCAGUUAAUUUCUCCAGAUUCAUUUUCUAUCAUUUUUGCAGAGGGCAAAUGCUCAAUCUUGAUCUUCAUUGUGGAGAUUUAUGUGGUUCUUUCAACAUUAGUCUCAAGAGGGAAAGCAGGGUGAGCACGACAGCAGCUGCAUUUCACAUCACCCUAGCAUCAGCAACCCCAACUCCUUGUCCGCUUCCAUGGAUAUAUUGUGAAGGUUGGCACUGAAUUUGACAGAAGCAUCUUACUAGGUUGUGGAUUUCAAGGGGUGAUGUAGUGCAGAUUAGCUGAGCAAAUUCGGAGGUAUGGUGAGUUCUCCGAUGAAAUUGGCCAGCCCUGUUGAAUUCUCUUAACUACUCCAGUUGGUAGUCAGUCCUAUCUGUACAUGAUGUGAAGUCGAUCGUGAGUUCCAGUUUGGCUAUCUGGAACCUUGGCGUCGUGUAACUUUGAUCAACGUCUAUCUGGAACCUGGUGUUCUGUCGUGGCAUCGAUUGUGGGUGUGUACACGUGUGUGCACCAUGACACGUGCCUCUGCCGGGGAACAAACGCCUGCCACCAUGGCUUGGUUUCUCCCCUUCUUUGGUGCAAACACCGCUCAACGCCAGUACAAAAGCAAACAGCCGCCAUGCGGUCACCAUUCUGUCAUGUGUUAUGCAGAGCACCGAUCGCCGUUCAGAGCAUCGAUCCGCCAUGGCGAGCACCGUAGUGAACCGCAUGACAAGAUGCGCGCCAGGGACGUGGGGAAAGUGGCCCGCCGCCGCCGGCGUCGAGCUGCGCACCGCGCCGUGCGGCAAGUUCCAGCGUUACCGCAGAUCCUGGCGCUUUGCAGGUUCAUUCAGGUUGUGGAGUGGAACAAGCAACUGCUACGGUGUCUAAGUCUGAAUAAUAUUAAACUGCUACUGCGUCAAGUCUUUUUUAACCGAAAUACUGCUUAUAAGGGUGCGUUUGUUUACAAAGUAGUUUUGCAGUUUUCAGGAAAUACUGUGGUUUCUGAAAAUACUUUGGUAUUACAUACGUUGAGGUGUUUGGGUAAAACAAAAGCAGAAGUUUCAUAAACUGCAGUAUGCCAAAAACUGUGGUUAUUUUGCAGUAUCUAAAAAAGUGGUCCAGACCUCUUUUUUCUAAACAGAAGCGAGAGAAGUCAUUGAAGAGAGCGCACUUGACGUUCCUG
rnacentral:rRNA from 1 species